AUUGAACGCUGGCGGCAGGCCUAACACAUGCAAGUCGAGCGGAGCGGCGGACGGGUGAGUAAUGCCUAGGAAUCUGCCUGGUUGUGGGGGAUAACGUCCGGAAACGUGCGCUCAUACCGCAUACUAUCAGAUGAGCCUCGGUCGGAUUAGCUAGUUGGUUGGGUAAAGGCUUACCAAGGCGACGAUCCGUAACUGGUCUGAGAGGAUGAUCAGUCACACUGGAACGGAGACACGGUCCAGACUCCUACGGGAGGCAGCAGUGGGGAAUAUUGGACAAUGGGCGAAAGCCUGAUCCAGCCAUGCCGCGUGUGUGAAGAAGGCCUUCGGGUUGUAAAGCACUUUCAGCGGAGAGGCGUUACCCGCAGAAGAAGCACCGGCUAACUCCGUGCCAGCAGCCGCGGUAAUUC
rnacentral:rRNA from 1 species